GAGGACUAGGAACUUCCUCUUAGAGUUUUCUUAUUGGUUUGGGAAGUUGGGAGCAUAACAGAUGUAUUGACCGAGAUACCCUUCUUCUCUGUCCUUCCUCUUCAUAUGCCUUUUGUGUGCUUUCUUGUCUUCUCAAAGGCUAAGGUGAGUGAGGGCCAUCGGUCUUGGUGGCCUUGUUGAAUCCAAGAGAGGCAGAUAUGGAAUGAAUGAGUGGGGUGGGGUGUUUGUUGUUUAGGCAGUAUUUAGGAAUACCAGAUUCCUGACCAUUAUGGCCAGAGGCAUCCUUUUGAGUCUCUGGAGCCCUCUUGCCCAUGAACUGGGGCUCUAGGACAUCCUAGAGCCUAUAUAACUAAGUAUAGACUUAGUUAUAGAUGUGGGCCACUUUGUUUCUGUGCCUUAUAGAUGCCUGAUUACUCAUCCCCAUCUUAGUGUAGCUCAGAUGUCACCCAUUUUCCUGGAUUGGCUCCCUCUCCUCAAAAAGGUAACAUUUAUAAUAUUCCUUAAUUUCCAUGUCAAAAUAUUUAGAAAGCAGGAUUAAUAAGAAAUGUUUAGUCUUUCUGUUCUGACCCUUGAAUAUAUACUAAGUAUAUUUCAUGUAUACUAUACUCUUAGAGGGCUGGCAUAUUUGAAGGAAUGGACUUACCAGAAUACAACUGGUACUUGGUUUCUCGAUUGGAGGCACUAUGGUAAAGUGGGAAGCACAUGAAGUUUGGAUAAAACAGGCCUGGGUUUGGAUCUUAGCUCUGCUAUUAUCUAGCUUUGUGAGCCUGAGACGCUAAGUUAACCUCUCUAACCCAGUUUCCUUUUUCUCUAAAGUAUAUUUCUCAAAAUUGUUGUAAAUAUUAAAUAAGCCUGUUUGCCUUGCACAUAGUAGACAUUCAGUAAAUGUUUCCUUAUCUGUAUGAAAGUUGUCUGCAAAGUCCUCAGAGGCCCCUUCAGACUCAACCAAAUCUUUGAAUGCAAAAUUCUCCUAAUUUCCACUGGAAAACUUUUUUUCAUUCUACUGAGGUUUUACUCUGAACUAAUAAUGUGACCUAUGUGAUCUUCGUUGGAUUAUUGCUGUCUGUAUCUCAUUUAUGCACUCUCCCUAUAUAUCUUUUACUUUCUCUUUCACCCCAAACCUACGUUACUGAGGGGUCUAAUAGGCCCACUGCUUCCACAGGGCCCUUUCUGGUAAGUUAAAGCCUGGGUUUUAGCCACCAUUUAACAGGAGAGACGAGCCACUCCAUGGUGCGUGGUUUGCUCUAGUCUAUGACAGUGUAAACCUAGUCGUUGGGUGAGUCAAAGCCUUAAACCUAAAAGCCAUCUCCCUUUUCUUCCCUUCCCUUCCCACACUACCUGAAAGAGCUGAGGAAAAUCUGGAAACUGUUAAUCCUGCUUGAGCAGUAGCUAUUGCUUAGUGCAGUUAGAGGAUCUCCUGGGAAGGGUGCAGUGUAGAUUGCUGCUGCAUCAUUCUAGCUUACCCUCUCACUGUUGCCUUCACUCUUAUAUAUACAUUUUAAAAUAGUAAACCCAAUUCAUUACCUCUUAACCUGAGGAAGAUGCACAUGAGUGAUUGUCCUUACUCAUUACUACUCUUCUAACCCAAAUAUUUAAUCAAAGAGUGUUUGCAGAAGUUUGACCAGGCAUUAUACAACUCUAGUUGUAUAGAAACACAAGAGUAAUACUUUACCAACAGCUCUAAAUGGUGGUAGUCAAUAAUGCAUUUUUCACUCAACUGUUUCCACCUAGCUUGUCAUUGUGUCAUUCAUUUGACUUAACCCCUUACCUAAAACUGCUCACUUUGCAGUUCCCCACAAAGCCUUUCAUUCCUGAUUUUCUCUUAUGUUCCAGAGCUAGUUUAUCUGCUCUGUAAUGAUUUGAAUUGUCUUGCCUCUCUUUCUCCAAAACCCUCUUCUCAAUGAGCCUCACUUGUUUGCUUUUUAAAUGAAAGAAAGUAUCAUGUAUGUGAAUUUUUGGUUGAUCAAAAUUAUGUGUUCGUUGGGAAAUAUAAAGAAUAAAUAAAUUACCUAAAGUCAAGUCUGCCACUCAGAACCAACCACUGUGAACAUUUUGGUGUGUGUCCUUCAAGUCCGUGAUGUGAGUGUGUCCUCCUGAUUUGUAUGAUAACAGCACAUCCCUCAGUAUGUCUCGAGAUGCCUCUGUAUUUCAAGAUGAGAGCAGUAUGCCUGUCCUGGAUAUUCCUACUGCCACACCAGAAAAGCAGAUGCACCAGGGCCGAGGUAGUCUGGGUGAGGAAGUCUCUGAUGUGGAUAUUGAAGGGUAUGAGUAGGAGGACGAUGGGAAACCUAAGAC